GAUGAACGCUAGCGGCAGGCCUAACACAUGCAAGUCGAGGGGCAGCACAGGUAGCAAUACUGGGUGGCGACCGGCGGAUGGGUGCGUAACGCGUAUGCAACCUACCAUUGAUUGGGGCAUAGCCCGAAGAAAUUCGGAUUAAUACUCCAUAAUAUUCAUCAAAGGCAUCUUUUAUGAAUUAAAGCUUUUGCGAUCAAUGAUGGGCAUGCGUGACAUUAGUUAGUUGGUGAGGUAACGGCUCACCAAAAACGAUGAUGUCUAGGGGUUCUGAGAGGAUUAAUCCCCCACACUGGUACUGAGACACGGACCAGACUCCUACGGGAGGCAGCAGUGAGGAAUAUUGGUCAAAUGGACGCAAGUCUGAAACCAGCCAAUGCCGCGUGCAGGAUGACGGCCCUAUGGGUUGUAAACUGCUUUUCCAACGGGAAGAACCCCUCCGACGUGUCGGAGACUGACGGUACCGUGGGAAUAAAGCAAUCGGCUAAACUCCGUG
rnacentral:rRNA from 1 species